GGAAGGAGUUGGUGACCGUCCGCAUGCGCUUGUGGGCCAGCACGAUCCAGAUCACCACGAGGUUGCCGAGCACCGCCACGGCCACCACGGCGCCGUAGGCCAGCGACCAGAGCGCCACGCGCCAGGGCGGCUGCAGGAACGGCAACCGACGUGCAUUCUGUCUGAACACUGUCCGAUGAGAAGGAGCUGAACAGUGAGGCGGGGCGUGGAGGAAGCCGGAGCCGGGCAGAGCUACUGUCUUGCUCAAGCCAUAGAAGGUACCUUGCUUUCUGUCUGGCAGAGUUUUCCUGUUGACUUCAACUUACAGCACUUGGAGACCACUGGGUUGGAAGAAAACCACAUGUACUCUCUUGUUUGUGCUGUCUUCCUGAGUUCCAGGGGCCAUGUGAAAAGACAGGAUCUUGCUAAGUGGCUAACUGGUGCAGGCUGGACUGGAACUUGAGAUCUUCUUGCUUCAGCCUUUCAGAGUUCUGGGGUUAGGGUGUGCACCACCAUGCACAGCUUACAGUCAGACCAGAACCUACUGAUCCUGUUAUCCUCCUUGAACUUGAAAGAACUUGAUUGCUUCACCUGAAUAAAUCAUUUUCUUGGUUGACUUGGAAGAAAAAUUAAACCUCAGCACACAGAAGUCUCUUUUGGGAAGGACUGUGGACCUCACUUAAUCUAGGUCCCCCAGAGACAAAACAAUGGGAUUCACUGGGAUUGACAGGAAGUCAUGCACAUUUGUGUAGAUAAAUGGUCUGAAGGGAUGACGAGACGCUGUUAGUGCUGUAGACUGCUGGGACACCGUGUACUGCCCCACUAGACCUGGAACUUAUUAAUGAAAGUCAUGUCCUAUUGUCAUGAGGUUAUAUUAUUGGAAUAAAUGUGCCAACCAACCAGGAAAGGCUUUCCUUUUCUAGACCACAGGUAGAAAGAUACUGCUCACAUCUCUUCAUCUCCUUUAAAUUGAGCUUGCUAGAUUGCAAUUUUCCCAAUUACCUAAACCCACUUAGUGGUUAAUAUAAAACAAUUAUAGGAUAAGUGGAAGCCAUAAAGAAAUUUCAUUUUAAUUUAGGAUCUAUCCACUGUAAACAUUAGUACUCAGCAAGUCUUUAUCAAAUAUGGCUGGUAAGAAAAUUUGUGUAUUCUGGAAGUUAUAGAUCCAGAACAUUGAGGACAGUGAUAUUUCCGGUGACAUUAGUGGAGCCCGGUUUGAUCAACAACUCAAGCUGUGCAAUAAAUGCUGGAGAUUGGUGUUUGAUUGUUGAUUUAACUGAUUCUUUCAUUUCAUUCCUGCCUUAGAAGGAAAGAAAGUAUGAUUUUUCACUUGCAUCGAAUGAGCUCUAAUAUGUAUUUUAUGCUUCCUCUGAAAUCUUUAUAUUAUUUUACUAACUGCAAAAAUCUGAAGAUAUGUAUAUUUGAUUUUUUAGAAUAAAAUGCUCUGUUCUUCAUA